UACGUAGGGUGCAAGCGUUAAUCGGAAUUACUGGGCGUAAAGCGCACGUAGGCGGCUUUGUAAGUUAGAGGUGAAAGCCCGGGGCUCAACUCCGGAUCUGCGGUGGGUACGGGCAGACUAGAGUGCAGUAGGGGAGACUGGAAUUCCUGGUGUAGCGGUGAAAUGCGCAGAUAUCAGGAGGAACACCGAUGGCGAAGGCAGGUCUCUGGGCUGUAACUGACGCUGAGGUGCGAAAGCGUGGGGAGCAAACAGG
rnacentral:rRNA from 1 species